rnacentral:rRNA from 1 species
AACCAACGCUGGCGGCGUGCCUAAUACAUGCAAGUCGAACGGGGAAAGCUUUCGGGUGAGUACUAGUGGCGCACGGGUGAGGAACGCGUGGAUAAUCUGCCUUAGAGUGGGGGAUAACUAGUCGAAAGAUUAGCUAAUACUGCAUAAGACCACGAGAGCUGCGGCUUUUGAGGUCAAAGGUUUUUCGCUCUAAGAUGAGUCCGCGUAAGAUUAGCUAGUUGGUGAGGUAACGGCUCACCAAGGCGACGAUCUUUAACUGGUCUGAGAGGAUGAUCAGUCACACUGGAACUGAGACACGGUCCAGACUCCUACGGGAGGCAGCAGUAGGGAAUAUUGCACAAUGGAGGAAACUCUGAUGCAGCGACGCAGCGUGAGUGAUGAAGGCCUUCGGGUCGUAAAGCUCUGUCGCAGGGGAAUAACACAAUGAAGGUACCCUGUAAGAAAGGAUCGGCUAACUUCGUG